UGCAAAGUAGUAGAAGGGAACCUUUAACAACAGAAGAUCAAGCCCGGAACGUUACUUCCUCCAUCGAUAUUCUCUCCAAACCACAUGUGCACAUAGAUGGCUCAAGGUUCAGGUAUAUAUACCCAAGUCCAAGCAGGCAGAUGGUAAAAGAUGUGCAUAAUGUCAGAUUCACAGCUGAUACAACCAAAUGGGCAAUGGAGUAUCUCGGCUUGUAAAAUUAACAUUUUUCUGUCAUAAAGACCAUGCACGGCUUCUUUGCUGUAUUCAAGAAGAAAGUCUACAAAAGUAUGUGAAGUUCUUACAG